GACGAACGCUGGCGGCGUGCUUAACACAUGCAAGUCGAACGGAAAGGCCCUGCUUUUGUGGGGUGCUCGAGUGGCGAACGGGUGAGUAACACGUGAGUAACCUGCCCUUGACUUUGGGAUAACUUCAGGAAACUGGGGCUAAUACCGGAUAGGAGCUCCUGCUGCAUGGGGGGGGUUGGAAAGUUUCGGCGGUUGGGGAUGGACUCGCGGCUUAUCAGCUUGUUGGUGGGGUAGUGGCUUACCAAGGCUUUGACGGGUAGCCGGCCUGAGAGGGUGAACGGCCACAUUGGGACUGAGAUACGGCCCAGACUCCUACGGGAGGCAGCAGUGGGGAGUAUUGCACAAUGGGCGGAAGCCUGAUGCAGCAACGCCGCGUGCGGGAUGACGGCCUUCGGGUUGUAAACCGCUUUCGCCUGUGACGAAGCGUGAGUGACGGUAAUGGGUAAAGAAGCACCGGCUAACUACGUG
rnacentral:rRNA from 1 species